GUUGGAAUCACCUGGAGGGUUUGUUAAAAAUCAGAUUCCCUUUACCCACUGUUCCUGACUCCAUAGAUCAGGGGUAGGACCUGAUAAUUUGCAUUCUAACAAGUUCUCAGGUGAUGCUAAG
rnacentral:miRNA from 1 species